rnacentral:lncRNA from 1 species
AAAACAACAGAGAACACUCACUCCAUGUUCAGCAUGAAGGAGAACUGCAUGAUCCAGGGAGGUUUAGGGGACCAAGAAGGUGGAUAGGCUCUAACUGGGGCAGGCAGCAGGUGCGGCUGCAGAAAAGCGAAGGACUCCGAGCCCCGUGGUGCCUGCCUAAGAGUGAGCCAAACUCAGAAAGCCUGAGGCCCUUCUAGAUGAAAGGUGACUGAUGCAAAGCUUGAUCCCAGAUUGGAUCUGGGUUAUGGGAAGACAGCUCACCAGGGACUAUUUAAGGGCAAUUGGCGAAAUGUAGACAUGGAAGAUGGACCAGACAACAGCAUGAGAUGAAUGUUAAAUUUCCUGAUUUUGAUCCUUGUUCUGUGGCUAUCAGGUUCCGGGGCCCUGUGGUGGCUUGUGCACACUGCAGUCUAUCUGCAGGCUCACUUUGGCGUAGGACGGCACCUGGACCCACUGGAUUCCGGCUCCCAUGCUCCCCUCUGGAAGUACAAGUCCUGGGCCAGGCGCAUGUGAACCUCCAUGGUGAAUGCAGCAGCUUCCUCUGCAGAUUCCUAGCGAGGUAGUGGCUGGAUGCCGCGAGAGACAGAUGAACCUCCUGUUUGUCCUCAAGGCGGGUAGUUUCCGUGUAGGAUCUCGCUUGUCCUUACAGGUGCCAUCUGAUCCUUGCUCACAUCCUCAGCUGGCGUUCCUUCCUGACUGCUGGAGUGGCUGACCUGAAGAGACUUCCCACUCAACACUGCAGGCAGAGGGGACAGCCCGGAGAGACUUGCCCGCCAGCUCUCACUUUGCAUAUAAUCUCACUCCUAAAUAAAUCCCUCAGCUCAGGGGUCCCCAAACUUUCUCUGCGUGUGGUGCCCUUAAUUUCUCAGUACUCUCUUCUUAGUGCACCUGGGCCAAAAGAAAUACCAAACAGUUCCAUUAAUUAAGUGGUUAGAUCCAAAUGACGUAGGUAUGUUUGUAAUAGCUGUUUGAAAAGAAAAUAUACAUACAUUGAAAGAAAAAAUAAUAUUUGAUUUUCCUCUUAAAUAAGCAGUGCCGAUGGGAUAUGUGCCUGUUGGACAAGGCCCAACUUCUCCAACCUUGGAAUCAAGUUGGACACUGUUGCCCUCAUUUUCUGUCCCACACCAUUUUACCUCAAAGCAAUCAUUGAAAACCCAGCUUUGGAAAGAUAUGACAACUGUGAAAGGAAUAUACUGCAAUCUGAUGUUCGAACUGUGAACUUCCUCAAUCGAGUAGUUCCCAAGGUGUCCAAGAAGGGUCAGCUAUCAAUGUAUAUCCUCUGAAAACUGGAAAUAUUCCAUGGCACCCCUGUGAACUCACUGUGGCCCCUACAGUUUGAGAACCAUAGCCUUGUCUCAUAUUGCUUCUGAUACACAGAGUGCCAUGCUGAUUUGGGUGUAUUCUUUUCCUGUCUUUGUACUCUCCACAUAUAUUAUAAAAUGUGGACCAGAAGAAUUCUAUAUUUCCCUUUUUUUAAUUUGACAAUGUUAUGAGUGUAUUCCCAUGUCAAUAAAAAUUCUUUUAAAAAUUAUUUAUAUCUGAAUCAUAUACCAAAUUUACCAAUAUCGAAUUUAAUCUUCCUCCAGUCCUUGAAUUUUCCAGCUGUAUUUCAUUUUGCUAUUAUCUGUCAAUAUUCCUUAAAAUGGAUUUCUAGAAGCAGUAUUACCAAAUGAACUUCUUAAACAAUCUUGAUAACUAUUGUUAAAUUGCUUUUCAGAAAUAAUGCACUAAUUUAUAUUCCAAUAAAAAAUACAUGGCAGUGGCUAUUUUGCCACAUUCUUAACUGCACUGGGUAUUUCCAUUAAUAAAAUAAAAUCUCCUC